GACGAACGCUGGCGGCGUGCUUAACACAUGCAAGUCGAACGGAAAGGCCCUGCUUUUGUGGGGUGCUCGAGUGGCGAACGGGUGAGUAACACGUGAGUAACCUGCCCUUGACUUUGGGAUAACUUCAGGAAACUGGGGUUAUAACCGGUUGGGAGCUCCUGCUUCUUGUUGGGGUUUGGAAAGUUUCGGCGGUUGGGGAUGGACUCGCGGCUUAUCAGCUUGUUGGUGGGGUAGUGGCUUACCAAGGCUUUGACGGGUAGCCGGCCUGAGAGGGUGACCGGCCACAUUGGGACUGAGAUACGGCCCAGACUCCUACGGGAGGCAGCAGUGGGGAAUAUUGCACAAUGGGCGGAAGCCUGAUGCAGCAACGCCGCGUGCGGGAUGACGGCCUUCGGGUUGUAAACCGCUUUCGCCUGUGACGAAGCGUGAGUGACGGUAAUGGGUAAAGAAGCACCGGCUAACUACGUG
rnacentral:rRNA from 1 species